rnacentral:rRNA from 1 species
GAUGAACGCUGGCGGCGUGCCUAAUACAUGCAAGUCGAGCGAACAGACGAGGAGCUUGCUCCUUUGACGUUAGCGGCGGACGGGUGAGUAACACGUGGAUAACCUACCUAUAAGACUGGGAUAACUUCGGGAAACCGGCGCUAAUCCCGGAUAAUAUAUUGAACCGCAUGGUGCAAUAGUGAAAGACGGUUUUGCUGUCACUUAUCGAUGGUUCCACGCCGCAUUAGCUAGUUGGUAAGGUAACGGGUUACCAAGGCGACGAUGCGUAGCCGACCUGACAGGGUGAUCGGCCACACUGGAACUGAGACACGGACCAGACUCCUACGGGAGGCAGCAGAAGGGAAUCUUCCGCAAUGGGCGAAAGCCUGACGGAGCAACGCCGCGUGAGUUAUGAAGGUCUUCGGAUCGUAAAACUCUGUUAUUAGGGAAGAACAAAUGUGUAAGUAACUAUGCACGUCUUGACGGUACCUAAUCAGAAAGCCACGGCUAACUACGUG